GAUGAACGCUGGCGGCGUGCCUAAUACAUGCAAGUCGAGCGAACAGACGAGGAGCUUGCUCCUCUGACGUUAGCGGCGGACGGGUGAGUAACACGUGGAUAACCUACCUAUAAGACUGGGAUAACUUCGGGAAACCGGAGCUAAUACCGGAUAAUAUAUUGAACCGCAUGGUUCAAUAGUGAAAGACGGUUUUGCUGUCUCUUAUAGAUGGAUCCGCGCCGGAUUAGCUAGUUGGUAAGGUAACGGCUUACCAAGGCAACGAUGCGUAGCCGACCUGAGAGGGUGAUCGGCCACACUGGAACUGAGACACGGUCCAGACUCCUACGGGAGGCAGCAGUAGGGAAUCUUCCGCAAUGGGCGAAAGCCUGACGGAGCAACGCCGCGUGAGUGAUGAAGGUCUUCGGAUCGUAAAACUCUGUUAUUAGGGAAGAACAAAUGUGUAAGUAACUAUGCACGUCUUGACGGUACCUAAUGAGAAAGCCACGGCUAACUACGUG
rnacentral:rRNA from 1 species